rnacentral:rRNA from 1 species
UACAUAGGGCUCAAGCGUUGUUCGGAUUCAUUGGGCGUAAAGGGUGCGUAGGCGGCUGGGUAAGUCAGGUGUGAAAUCUCGAGGCUCAACCUCGAAACUGCACUUGAUACUGCCUUGCUUGAGUACUGGAGAGGAGAUUGGAAUUUACGGUGUAGCAGUGAAAUGCGUAGAUAUCGUAAGGAAGACCAGUGGCGAAGGCGGAUCUCUGGACAGUUACUGACACUGAGGAACGAAGGCCAGGGGAGCAAACGGG